AGAAAAGAGAGAAAACAAUAGAUUUGAGCAAACGCAGGAAAAACAGAGCUAAAUCUCUGCAAUUUGCUUCCGAUACGAUGCUUUUGCGUUUGACGGUUUGAUUUAAUUGCGGAGAAGAAUUGUCAGUUCUGAUUGUAAUGGGGUAGCUUCUUCUGAUGGCCGUCUAGCUCGAACAAGUUACAUUCCGCCACAUCUUAGGAAUAUGCCUUCCUUCUGCCUCGUUGUUGUUGCUGGUGGUGCUCGGAAUAAAUAACUGAGGGAUUGGUUGGGAUCGUGGAGGGAAAGAGAGGCUAAUCCUUUUUCACGAUAACUUAUGAUGCUUAAGAUGAUAGUCCACUUGAAAUGACAACUGUUUGGAGGUAUGCAUAUAUCACUAUGUGCUCGGGGAUCUAAUGGCGUGUGCCCAGACUGGUCUUGCAGGUUCAUGAAGAAGCUAGGAAGUGCUCCUACCAAACUGGUGGUUGCACCCAUAAAUAUGCAGCUCCGUGAACUUGGAAGAGGUGUCAACAUACUUGUUGCAACUCCUGGACGGUUGGCCGUGGAUUUGUUGGAAAGGGAAAGAGUCUCUUUGCAAAUGAUAAGGUGCUUAGCACUAGACGAGGCAGAUAGAAUGUUGGACAUGGAUUUGGAUUUUGAACCUCACAAAUGAGGAGAAUUGUGCAACAAAUGGACAUGCCAUCUGCUGUUUGUAAGACAUACAAUGCUGUUUAGUGCCACUUUCCCUAAGGAGAUUCGGGUCUGUUUUAUUUCUCCAGAAUUCAUCAGAACAAUCUACUUGAAUACAUGAGUAGCCUAUAUGUUUAUAUUAGGAUACAAAUAUCAGGUGUAUUAAGCUGUGCCAAGUUAGAUUUGAGCAGUAGGAAGGUGUUAUACAUCAUUGACCUUAUAGUAACUUAUACUUUUGGAAACAGAGUGGACAAUAAUUAGAGUUAUGAGAUUUGCAUGUUUUCACAUAGAGAAUUCCACAUUUGUGACAACUGAUCUAUAUUAGAAAUGGAUAUUUCCUGGCCUUGUUAUCUUUACUAAAUUAUGGAGUACUAAUAAACUGUUGACAAAUAUCAGGCAUAAAAUACUCAUAAGGUUCAAUAUAACAACUAGUGUGAAACUGUCUCCUCAGCCUGUAACAGAAACUGCCAUAUAGUUCAUAUGCCUUUUUUCUUCAAUUCUUGUUUUUGUGACAUUCUCUAACUUGUAUUUGACAUUCACUAGCUGCAGAUUUUCUAUCAAAUUAUGUGUUUCUGGCUGUCGGCAGAGUUGGUUCUAGUUCUUAUUUGAUUGUCCAAAGAGUUGCAUAUGUGCUUGUGGUACGGAGGGAAAGACUGUACCACCGAAUGGACUCACUAAUAUGUCCUGAUAAGAAGCAUAACACCCAAAACAUGCGAACAUAAAUUCGACAGAAAAUAGAAAAAUAAACUGAAAUGGACAAGGAUAAUCCUCUUAUGAGGCCCUAUGGUAAGACAUAAUCCGCAUAAGAACCCUCCAAAAUUACGCAGCCUUUAGAAGCUAGAUGGCUAUUAUGUGCUUUAAUUAAAUAUCUUAAUUAAUGUUUAUCUAUGUGAAAUCUAAAUUACUGAUGUGCAUCUGGAUUUUCAGCUAGCUUUCACACUGGUUUUUGUAGAAACAAAGAAGGGAGCUGAUGCGCUUGAACAUUGGCUUUGCAUAGAUGGCUUCCCUGCUGCUUCUCCUCAUUGUGACUGGACUCAAUAGGUUUGUUUAGAUUAGCGUUACUCAGUCGGGAAGUGCUCUCUUGUUUUGUGGUUUACUUGAAACAAAGAAUGCAUACUAGCUCGCCCUUGAGUUUCAUUAAGAAGUUAGACAGUAAUAAUACGAACAUCAAAGGGCUUAAGCAAGACAACAAUCCUCGUUGGCCAGGCCAUUGUCUGGUUUGAUGCAAGAAGCAAAUCAAGACAUCCUGGCUUGGCUCUCCCACCUUGCAGCCCGGUCUUCCUAUGGCAAGAGCAGUCGUAGGUUUUGCGUUUUAUUGCAUUUUAAAUGCAAGUGGAUUAGUUGCAAACCUGCAAAUAUGUCAAUUGGUCAAUGCUUGAAGCAUCCUGUGGCUCUAGAAGGCUUUCCAAUUACAGGUGAGUAUUUACAUUGAUUUUUCUGAAUAUUUGUAUCAUAAAAAUUAUUUAUAAUUGCUGCUGUAUCAUCAAUUUUGACUGACUUACGCGUAUUUUCUAUGUGUACUGAUCGAAUAUAAUUAUUAAAAAGAAAAAAAGGUAGUGGGAUGUUUGCAUCAUCUCUUAAAUCAUCUUGAAAUUAACUUCUUUGUGGAAUUCCUUA